rnacentral:rRNA from 1 species
CCCUUAGAUGUUCUGGGCCGCACGCGUGCUACACUGAGUGGAUCAGCGGGUCAGGUUGCGCGAAAGCGUUUCCUAAUCUUUAAAUCCGCUCGUGAUGGGGAUUGACGGUUGCAAUUUUCUGUCAUGAACGAGGAAUACCUUGUAAGCGCGGGUCAUCAUCCCGCGCUGAAUACGUCCCUGCCCUUUGUACACACCGCCCGUCGCUCCUACCGAUUGAAUGCUCAGGUGAGCCAUUCUGACUUUCAUCAUGCUGGUUUCCAGUUUUGAUGAAGGAAAGUCUUGCGAACCUUAUCAUUUAGAGGAAGGAGAAGUCGUAACA